CAGGUGUUGUUGGUGAGAGCGAAGCUUGGGCAUCAGGCAGAAUGUUGGCAUCUGCAUGAGUGGAACAGAGGAGCCUCAGUUCUGGUUCUCUUUCCUGAGACGACAACCACAGGAUGAGGCUUGAGAGGAGGUCUCAGGAGAGAGAAUGUUCCAUGACUUUCACACCUUCA